UACGUAGGGUGCAAGCGUUGUCCGGAAUUAUUGGGCGUAAAGAGCGUGUAGGCGGCCGUGUAGGUCCGUUGUGAAAACUCGAGGCUCAACCUCGAGACGUCGAUGGAAACCACACGGCUAGAGUCCGGAAGAGGAGAGUGGAAUUCCUGGUGUAGCGGUGAAAUGCGCAGAUAUCAGGAAGAACACCUAUGGCGAAGGCAGCUCUCUGGGACGGUACUGACGCUGAGACGCGAAAGCGUGGGGAGCGAACAGG
rnacentral:rRNA from 1 species